ensembl:lncRNA
GCAUCCUCUCCAGGUGCCGGCAGCGCUGCUGAACCUAAAAGGAGGCAGAAGGAGUGCCCAGCUCCUGCACGUGCAGCAUGGUCAGAUACAGCCUGGACAGGAGCAUUCACAAAGAGCCAGACCACACCGCUUACCACAUCGAUCCUGCGGACAAGGACGGGCCUGACCUCCAGCUCCAGCAGCCAGUCGGCUUCCAGGAUGCCGCGGUGGUACUCCUCCAGCUCCAGGUGCUUCUGCAGCUCCUCCAUCAGGGCAGCUGGAGCAGUGCCCAGUUGCGGCGGUGGGCGAAGAGGAGCGCAGCCAGGUGUGGGAUGGAGGCCGGGGAGAGCGGCUCCUCAUGCACAUACAGAUGCUCACACAGCGGGAACACCACCCUCGUGUCAAACCUCUCCUUCGUGGCCCGCAGGUGCUGCAGCCAGGAGGGGCUGGCACAUCUCUGCUGGGAGAUAGUGCUGGCACUGCUCGCAUGGCUGCGCUGCUGGGAAGUUAAGAACGUCGAUGGCCAAGACCAACGCCAUGGCAAACCUGGGAGCCAUUACCACUGACGGGUUUCCCCUUCCCCCGGAUCUCUGUACGUCCUUGCCUGGGCCCGGCUGUCUGCUUUCCAGUCCCUCAAACUUUAGAAGUGUAAAUUAAAAAAUCACAACAAGUGAA